CCUACGGGAGGCAGCAGUGAGGAAUAUUGGUCAAUGGACGCAAGUCUGAACCAGCCAUGCCGCGUGCAGGAAGACGGCUCUAUGAGUUGUAAACUGCUUUUGUACGAGGGUAAACGCAGAUACGCGUAUCUGUCUGAAAGUAUCGUACGAAUAAGGAUCGGCUAACUCCGUGCCAGCAGCCGCGGUAAUACGGAGGAUUCAAGCGUUAUCCGGAUUUAUUGGGUUUAAAGGGUGCGUAGGCGGUCGGAUAAGUUAGAGGUGAAAUCCCGAGGCUCAACUUCGGAAUUGCCUCUGAUACUGUUCGGCGAGAGAGUAGUUGCGGUAGGCGGAAUUUAUGGUGUAGCGGUGAAAUGCUUAGAGAUCAUACAGAACACCGAUUGCGAAGGCAGCUUACCAAGCUACUUCUGACGUUGAGGCACGAAAGCGUGGGGAGCAAACAGGAUUAGAUACCCGUGUAGUC
rnacentral:rRNA from 1 species